rnacentral:tRNA from 1 species
AGGGGCAAUCCUUCCUCUCCUAACCC